AGAGUUUGAUCCUGGCUCAGGAUGAACGCUAGCUACAGGCUUAACACAUGCAAGUCGAGGGGCAGCAUGGUCUUAGCUUGCUAAGGCCGAUGGCGACCGGCGCACGGGUGAGUAACACGUAUCCAACCUGCCGUCUACUCUUGGACAGCCUUCUGAAAGGAAGAUUAAUACAAGAUGGCAUCAUGAGUCCGCAUGUUCACAUGAUUAAAGGUAUUCCGGUAGACGAUGGGGAUGCGUUCCAUUAGAUAGUAGGCGGGGUAACGGCCCACCUAGUCUUCGAUGGAUAGGGGUUCUGAGAGGAAGGUCCCCCACAUUGGAACUGAGACACGGUCCAAACUCCUACGGGAGGCAGCAGUGAGGAAUAUUGGUCAAUGGGCGAGAGCCUGAACCAGCCAAGUAGCGUGAAGGAUGACUGCCCUAUGGGUUGUAAACUUCUUUUAUAAAGGAAUAAAGUCGGGUAUGCAUACCCGUUUGCAUGUACUUUAUGAAUAAGGAUCGGCUAACUCCGUGCCAGCAGCCGCGGUAAUACGGAGGAUCCGAGCGUUAUCCGGAUUUAUUGGGUUUAAAGGGAGCGUAGAUGGAUGUUUAAGUCAGUUGUGAAAGUUUGCGGCUCAACCGUAAAAUUGCAGUUGAUACUGGAUAUCUUGAGUGCAGUUGAGGCAGGCGGAAUUCGUGGUGUAGCGGUGAAAUGCUUAGAUAUCACGAAGAACUCCGAUUGCGAAGGCAGCCUGCUAAGCUGCAACUGACAUUGAGGCUCGAAAGUGUGGGUAUCAAACAGGAUUAGAUACCCUGGUAGUCCACACGGUAAACGAUGAAUACUCGCUGUUUGCGAUAUACGGCAAGCGGCCAAGCGAAAGCGUUAAGUAUUCCACCUGGGGAGUACGCCGGCAACGGUGAAACUCAAAGGAAUUGACGGGGGCCCGCACAAGCGGAGGAACAUGUGGUUUAAUUCGAUGAUACGCGAGGAACCUUACCCGGGCUUGAAUUGCAGAGGAAGGAUUUGGAGACAAUGACGCCCUUCGGGGUCUCUGUGAAGGUGCUGCAUGGUUGUCGUCAGCUCGUGCCGUGAGGUGUCGGCUUAAGUGCCAUAACGAGCGCAACCCCUCUCCUUAGUUGCCAUCAGGUCAAGCUGGGCACUCUGGGGACACUGCCACCGUAAGGUGUGAGGAAGGUGGGGAUGACGUCAAAUCAGCACGGCCCUUACGUCCGGGGCUACACACGUGUUACAAUGGGGGGUACAGAGGGCCGCUACCACGCGAGUGGAUGCCAAUCCCCAAAACCUCUCUCAGUUCGGACUGGAGUCUGCAACCCGACUCCACGAAGCUGGAUUCGCUAGUAAUCGCGCAUCAGCCACGGCGCGGUGAAUACGUUCCCGGGCCUUGUACACACCGCCCGUCAAGCCAUGAAAGCCGGGGGCGCCUAAAGUCCGUGACCGUAAGGAGCGGCCUAGGGCGAAACUGGUAAUUGGGGCUAAGUCGUAACAAGGUAGCCGUACCGGAAGGUGCGGCUG
rnacentral:rRNA from 1 species